rnacentral:rRNA from 1 species
AAAUUGAAGAGUUUGAUCAUGGCUCAGAUUGAACGCUGGCGGCAGGCCUAACACAUGCAAGUCGAACGGUAACAGGAAGCAGCUUGCUGCUUGCUGACGAGUGGCGGACGGGUGAGUAAUGUCUGGGAAACUGCCUGAUGGAGGGGGAUAACUACUGGAAACGGUGGCUAAUACCGCAUAACGUCGCAAGACCAAAGAGGGGGACCUUCGGGCCUCUUGCCAUCAGAUGUGCCCAGAUGGGAUUAGCUUGUUGGUGAGGUAACGGCUCACCAAGGCGACGAUCCCUAGCUGGUCUGAGAGGAUGACCAGCCACACUGGAACUGAGACACGGUCCAGACUCCUACGGGAGGCAGCAGUGGGGAAUAUUGCACAAUGGGCGCAAGCCUGAUGCAGCCAUGCCGCGUGUAUGAAGAAGGCCUUCGGGUUGUAAAGUACUUUCAGCGGGGAGGAAGGUGUUGUGGUUAAUAACCGCAGCAAUUGACGUUACCCGCAGAAGAAGCACCGGCUAACUCCGUGCCAGCAGCCGCGGUAAUACGGAGGGUGCAAGCGUUAAUCGGAAUUACUGGGCGUAAAGCGCACGCAGGCGGUCUGUCAAGUCGGAUGUGAAAUCCCCGGGCUCAACCUGGGAACUGCAUUCGAAACUGGCAGGCUUGAGUCUUGUAGAGGGGGGUAGAAUUCCAGGUGUAGCGGUGAAAUGCGUAGAGAUCUGGAGGAAUACCGGUGGCGAAGGCGGCCCCCUGGACAAAGACUGACGCUCAGGUGCGAAAGCGUGGGGAGCAAACAGGAUUAGAUACCCUGGUAGUCCACGCCGUAAACGAUGUCUACUUGGAGGUUGUGCCCUUGAGGCGUGGCUUCCGGAGCUAACGCGUUAAGUAGACCGCCUGGGGAGUACGGCCGCAAGGUUAAAACUCAAAUGAAUUGACGGGGGCCCGCACAAGCGGUGGAGCAUGUGGUUUAAUUCGAUGCAACGCGAAGAACCUUACCUGGUCUUGACAUCCACGGAAGUUUUCAGAGAUGAGAAUGUGCCUUCGGGAACCGUGAGACAGGUGCUGCAUGGCUGUCGUCAGCUCGUGUUGUGAAAUGUUGGGUUAAGUCCCGCAACGAGCGCAACCCUUAUCCUUUGUUGCCAGCGAUUAGGUCGGGAACUCAAAGGAGACUGCCAGUGAUAAACUGGAGGAAGGUGGGGAUGACGUCAAGUCAUCAUGGCCCUUACGACCAGGGCUACACACGUGCUACAAUGGCGCAUACAAAGAGAAGCGACCUCGCGAGAGCAAGCGGACCUCAUAAAGUGCGUCGUAGUCCGGAUUGGAGUCUGCAACUCGACUCCAUGAAGUCGGAAUCGCUAGUAAUCGUGGAUCAGAAUGCCACGGUGAAUACGUUCCCGGGCCUUGUACACACCGCCCGUCACACCAUGGGAGUGGGUUGCAAAAGAAGUAGGUAGCUUAACCUUCGGGAGGGCGCUUACCACUUUGUGAUUCAUGACUGGGGUGAAGUCGUAACAAGGUAACCGUAGGGGAACCUGCGGUUGGAUCACCUCCUUA